rnacentral:rRNA from 1 species
GACAGAGGAGCCAAGCGUUGUCCGGACUGACUGGGCGUAAAGCGCACGCAGGCGGCGCUGUGCGUGGGGUGUGAAAGCUCUUGGCUUAACUGAGAGAGGCCAUCCCAUACGGCAGCGCUCGAGCGGUGCAGAGGUCCGCGGAAUUGCCGGUGUAGUGGUGAAAUGCGUAGAGAUCGGCAGGAACACCCAGGGGGAAACCAGCGGACUGGGCAUCGGCUGACGCUCAGGUGCGACAGCGUGGGGAGCGA